UCUAACUCUAUGUUUGAAUUAGCAGGGGAAGUUCCUGCUCAGGAUUGAAUAUUGGCAAUCCUGACCUGAUACUCCGACGUGCGCCAAAAGAUUAUCUCUUUGGGGUACGAAAGCUCGGUGAAGUCGGCAAAAAGGAAUCUGCGAUGGUUCAUAUAUUGCCGGGGGCUAUAAA
rfam:Nitrospira bacterium SG8_35_1 WOR_8-12_7293, whole genome shotgun sequence.